UUGAAAGUUGAGGUGGCUGUAGCCGACUUUAGCCAGAUGUUAUGAUCUAAUUAUGGAAAGACACGUAUCAGUGUUCAUUCUAUUAAAACCCUUUCAUCAGCUGAACCUACCCUAUCUCAUUUGUGCUCUCUGUUCUUUACCAGCAUUUAACUUCUCAGAAUUUCCAUCGGUGCGGCGCGACUAGAACGUGGACUGUGAUUUUGAAUUACUGAAGUUAAAUUUGCAAGUCAAGUUAAGGCAACUGAUGUUGGAGACGCGUGGAGGGUCGAAUGGGCGCGUCGAAUCUUUUUGAGUCAAAAUAAAUUAUCUUCUUUUGAACUUUGUACAGUAUCAGAUACUUUUGUUUUAGUAACAUCGUUGUUUCUUUGUCAAACUGUUUUUCAGGUCAUGUUUGACUUUGUAAGUUAUAAUAUCGUUGUGUUAUGUAUAUAUUAGAGUUUGAUAUUUUGAAGUUAUCAAA